rnacentral:ncRNA from 1 species
GGUUAAGCGAAUAAGCGUACACGGUGGAUGCCUAGGCAAUCAGAGGCGAUGAAGGACGUGCUAAUCUGCGAUAAGCGUCGGUAAGGUGAUAUGAACCGUUAUACCCGACGAUUUCCGAAUGGGGAAACCCAAUAUCCCAUGGAUAUUAUCCUGACAUGAAUACAUAGUGUCAGGAAGCGAACCGGGAGAACUGAAACAUCUCAGUACCCCGAGGAAAAGAAAUCAACCGAGAUUCCCCUAGUAGCGGCGAGCGAACGGGGAACAGCCCAGAGUCUUAAUCAAUAGCAGCAUCAGGAGAACGGUCUGGAAAGUCCGGCAGUAAAGGGUGAUAGCCCCGUAUCCGAAGAUGCUGUUAUUGUGAACUCGACGAGUAGGGCGGGACACGUGUUAUCCUGUCUGAAUAUGGGGGGACCAUCCUCCAAGGCUAAAUACUCCUGAUUGACCGAUAGUGAACCAGUACCGUGAGGGAAAGGCGAGGCGAAAAGAACCCCGGCGAGGGGAGUGAAAAAGAACCUGAAACCGUGUACGUACAAGCAGUAGGAGCCCCAUCACUCAAGUGCCUCGCACUGAGUGAUUGGCAAAACCACUCGAAAACAGCGCAGCGUUUACCUACAAAAUGGGGUGAUUUUUUCAAGCCGUCGCGCAGUGUACAUAGAAGUACACGAGCAACGGAAGUUAAAAAAUCGCGCCAGUUUGACAGUAAAAGCAAGCGGGACAUUUGAGGAUGGGGUGACUGCGUACCUUUUGUAUAAUGGGUCAGCGACUUAUAUUCUGUAGCAAGGUUAACCGUAUAGGGGAGCCGUAGGGAAACCGAGUCUUAACUGGGCGAAUAAGUUGCAGGGUAUAGACCCGAAACCCGGUGAUCUAUCCAUGGGCAGGUUGAAGGUUGGGUAACACUAACUGGAGGACCGAACCGACUAAUGUUGAAAAAUUAGCGGAUGACUUGUGGAUGGGGGUGAAAGGCCAAUCAAACCGGGAGAUAGCUGGUUCUCCCCGAAAGCUAUUUAGGUAGCGCCUCGUGAACUCAUCUUCGGGGGUAGAGCACUGUUUCGACUAGGGGGUCAUCCCGACUUACCAACUCGAUGCAAACUGCGAAUACCGAAGAAUGUUAUCACGGGAGACACACGGCGGGUGCUAACGUCCGUCGUGAAGAGGGAAACAACCCAGACCGCCAGCUAAGGUCCCAAAGUCAUGGUUAAGUGGGAAACGAAGUGGGAAGGCUCAGACAGCCAGGAUGUUGGCUUAGAAGCAGCCAUCAUUUAAAGAAAGCGUAAUAGCUCACUGGUCGAGUCGGCCCGCGCGGAAGAUGUAACGGGGCUAAACCAUGCACCG